AGUAAUUGGUAUCAGCUUUUUUGGUUCUCCAAUAAUCGGUAUCGGUAUUGAAAAAUCAUAAUCGGUCAACCUUUAAUCGGUACAACAUGAGACAGAUAGCAAAAUAGCAAGCCAUGGUAUAUCAGACCGUAUAGCAGGGGUAUGAGUCAAUAUUACUUGUUUACUGUUGUAAUUACAUUGGUAACCUGUUUUUAAUAGCAAUAAGGCACCUUGGGGGUAUAUGGCCAAUAUACCACGGCUAAGGGCUGUAUCCAGGAACUCUGCGUUGCAUCGUGCUAAGAAAUGUCCUGAGCAGUGGUAUAUUGUCCAUAUAGCACAAACCCCUGAGGUGCCUUAUUGCUUAAAUAUAUCACAGAUACAUGCGCAUGUGAGGUUUCAAAUAAUAAUGUUACUACUACUAGCUUGCUCUCUCCCUGGUUCUCCUGAACAUGUUUAUCUGAUAUAGCUAGUUGUUAUUGUUCUUCCUUGCUCAUCCAAAGCAGGCUUUUCUCUUCACUAGUCUUCAGAUGCUUAACUACAUGAUCAUCAUGUUGUGGCUGUAACAUGGACAUUGCAUUAGAACAACAACUAGAUACACUCUUAGAAAAAAUGGUUCCAAAAGGGUUCUUCAGCUGUCCCCAUAGUAUAACCCUUUUUGAUUCGAGGUAGAACCAUUUUGGGUUCCAUGUAGAGCCCUCUGUGGAAAGGGUUGUACAUGGAACCCAAAAUGGUUCUACUUGGAACCCAAAAUGGUUCUACUUGGAACGAACAAAGGUUCUACCUGGAACCAACAUGGGUUCUUCAUAAUGUUAUCAUAUGCGGUCAGCUGAAUAACUUUUUAAGUUCUAGAUAGCACCUUUUUUUCUAAGAGUGUAGCUAUAUCAGAUUUUCAGAUUUUCAGACAUUUUCAGGAAAAGCAGCUAAUUUAGCAAGCCAAUAAAAUACCUAUUGCAUUGGUUCAACCUUGAAAUAUAACUACUAAAGAUAGAGAUCUUACCUUUUUAUCUCUGUAGCAGUUUGAGCUCACCUCGUCUGGGCACUGCAACAGCCAGAUCUUAUUCCCCAUUCUUUAUUGUCUAGAAGAUUCUGCAGGGAGCUAGCCUGUUCUCCUAAAACAUUAGCUAAUAGCUAAAUUAGCCUAAUUGAGCGAAUCAAUCUCAGCUUGCUAACUAGCAAAGCCAACUAAUUAUACAACAAAUAUACACAAAGUAAACAAUUAUUUUCUAAAAUAAUGUUAGUCUCAACCAAAUGACAAGUACAAAGAACUACUGCUCUGUUCCCGAAAUGUAACAACCAUUAGUUACAGACUAGACAGAAGACUAUUGCUAGCUAGCUAACCAGCCAUGCUAUUUCAAUGAAAAGAAGCUAACUUGCCAGUGUCACCUUUGUAGUUGUAAUGCUAUGUGGAAAAAGUAGUUUUAAUUUCUUCCUCCAUUUUUCUCACCAACACUUACAGCCAAAUGUUUAAUACCCUGGGUCUUCCCAGAACACAUUAUGGAAAGUCUAUAGAAACAGUGGUUAGUGGUCACUUUAUUAGGUACAACCCCCUUUGCAUCUGGAAUAGCGUGAAUUCAAAACUGUUGAUGAAACGGAAAGGAGAUAGACUGUUCAAGUUUUUAAGUUCAGUUUGAGUUUAUUACAGUCAGUACAAGUUUUGGAACUUUUCUGAGUUACAAAAGACAACCACAGACUGUGCUGUCAUUUUGCACAUUCUAAAGUUCAAACAAACAGUAACAGAAUACCUGAAUACUUCUCUGCAUGCUUUAGUGUCAGUAUAUAUAAAUAUAGAAGCGCACGGAUUGAUUCCUUUAAGUAAGUUUAACAUCGAAAAACAUCGACCUCUUCCUUUAACGUUACCAAUCUGUAAGUGAGCUAUUUUAUUUCCAGAUUUUAGAUAUGUAUUUAUGCAUUCCAUCACAGUUUACAACUAGUACCGUAUAGCAUUUAUGGAUGUGUAUUUCUCUAUUGAAAGUCCGCUAGCAUGUUGUGCUAACAAGCAUCCCAUACCUUUCUAUUGUAUUUUAGCUAGCUAAGUUAGCUGGUUAGCUGUUUUUAUACUGACUAACGUUAGCCAAGAGGGUGUUGUACCUAGUUUGUUUACUAAUUUCAUAGAGAAGACAUCGCCCUUUUCUGACAAGUCAUUUCAUGCCAACUGUCAGCCCAGUAACUUGUGAUAGAAAUGCAUGCCAUCAUCGUUAUGUUACUGAAACUAACUUUGUAAUCUAUUUCAUGCCUGCUAGUUAACAGUAUAAUGUUAGCUAAUUUGUGUGCUAACCCAGCUAGCUAUUUAUUGUUCAAAGGCAUGAAAGAGACACUGGAUGUAUGUCAGAGACACAUACAGUAGUAACCCUCUGUAGCAUCCCUGUAGGCUUGCUUGAUGACAUCUACCAAGAGGUCUGGACCUUUAGGGCUCAGAAAGAACAGAAUAGGUCUACACAAAGAUACUGGUGAUAUAGCUAUUGGCAAGUGUGCAUAACCUACACUGGUCCAGGGCAAGCAUCCCUGGUCCCACUCCUCUCCCUCAAUUACUACAGUAGCAUUACACUACAGUAGCAUUACUUGAACUUCUAUUGCUGCAUACUGGAGCUGGUAUAAAUACCAUCCUCCUGUAUCACCAGCAGGUUGGAGAUGUGGCCACCACCAUUCCCAGUAUGUACCACUUCUGUUUUUCAUUUCUUUCUACUUGGAAAGGUGGUUCAUGCACUUUAUGUUGUCUAGUUCCAGGUGAAUAAAGGGAUAAUUUAUUUUUGUGUGCUCCACUAUAAUAAAUAGGCUUUCCACAUGUCAAAAAUAGAGUGGAUGGUUAAAGGGCAUUCCUUUUUUUGACAUGUGUGCUCAUAUCUUAAGGUGUUUAAUCUCGGUCACUGUGUUUUACAGCAAUCGCCUUCAACGUGGAGACAGUGACGUACAACACCCUGAAGUUUCAGGUGUGGGAUCUUGGUGUACAGAUGAGUAUCAGGGAAAUGCACAAAUAGUCCACAUGCAGUCCAGUAUGUCCUGGCCUGGGUUUGUCUGAAGUUGGGAAGCAGCUUCACCUUGGAAACACAAAUGGGCUGUUCACACAAGCCAACACUUUUAGAGUGAAACUGUGGUAUUCAGUCACGACCAUGUUCUGUAUCAGAAUCAACGUUAUGAAUUGCUUUGUCUUGAAAUCCAUUUUCCUUACCUUAUCCUGACACUUUUUAUGGAACCUUUAGAUAUAAAUGUAUUGUGUCGAACAAACAUGCCUCACUGACUAUAGAAUAACAAAUCAAGUCAGCUAUAUUCAUAACAUUUCUAUCUGCAACGAUCCACAAUGAAAGUGCCCCAGGAAAUAGAGGAGUCCAAUCAGAGGUGUAUUCAUUACACAAAUUCUAUUGCAAAACGUUUUGUAACAGAAACCGUUUACUGCAAAUGCUGUCCAGUUCCAUGUUGUUCAAAACUCCCUUUCCUAUACUACUCGUUUUCCUAGCUUCCUUUCCUAUCGUUUCUGUGCUUCCUUGUCUUUUCUCCUUUCCCGGUUCAUUUAAUGAUUUAUUUUCCUUAUAUCCUAGCUCCCUUUCUUUUCUUUUCUUUGCCAUCUACCUUUCCUUUUCUCCUUUCCUAUUCUAGCUCAUCUACCUUUCCUAGCUCCCUUUGCUUAGCAUUAGUGUUAUUAAUAUCUAGUUUAUCAAUAUGUUCAACACUAUUUGGAUUGGGAUAUUAUAAAUUGCUAUGAUUUUUUACAUUCGUGAAUGAUGCAAGGUGGCUGACUGUGUGUGUAUAUAUAUUUAUUAUUAUAUAAUAAUAAAAAAAGCUAUUUUGUCAGUUCUAAAUUAAAUGACAUUUUAAUUGUUGUGGCAGUGAGGGCUUCAAAUAGUGAUCAAAUAGUGUAUUGGUCACAUAGUUUAGCAUAUCAAAGUGCAUUUGGAAUUUUACACCGGUAACAAAGUGUACAUGCUACUUAUUUUUCCCAAUGUAGUGAUUUUUUUAAAUGUAUACAUUUUAAAUAUUGUAUAACAUAUCAUGUGGCCUAGCGUACUGCUUGGGCUUAUUAGUCAACCAUAAAUAAAUAAACAUGCCUAUUCCCUA